AUCGUUGCCAUGAACACAGAAUUUUUCUGUUAUCAAUUAAUUAAUUAAUUAACUAAUUAAUCCAUAUUUAUUUUGUGUAAAUUAUUUACAAUGAAAAAAAAGAAAUCAAACAAAAUAAAUAAUGAAUGAAAUGAAAUGAAAUGAAAAAAAAACGAUCAUUUUUUUCUGAUUUUAUUUCAGUUUUUUUUUGCAACGAAAUGGCUGUAAACAUACAAUCAUCUUCGAUCGUCAUUGAAUUCAUCAUUGGAUAUAUGCACGAUUUACUAAUUGAAAAUAUUUGGCACCAUUCCGUAAAAGUUGUUGAUGUGUACCUUGUUCAACAAUUCUACCGGAUUCCAGCACAACAAUAUGAUCACAAUGUUCAAUAGUAUUUAAACGAUGAGCAAUGACCAAUACAAUAAUGCUGUACCUUGUUGACCUACAAUCGUAUCAUAUCCAUGUGGAAAUUCAAUUAUGAAAUCAUGUGCAUUAGCAAUUUU